rnacentral:rRNA from 1 species
AUUGAACGCUGGCGGCAGGCCUAACACAUGCAAGUCGAACGAGUGGCGGACGGGUGAGUAAUGUCUGGGAAACUGCCUGCUGGAGGGGGAUAACUACUGGAAACGGUAGCUAAUACCGCAUACCAUCAGAUGUGUCCAGUUGGGAUUAGCUUGUUGGUGGGGUAACGGCUCACCAAGGGGACGAUCCCUAGCUGGUCUGAGUGGAUGACCAGCCACACUGGAGAGGGGACACGGACCAGACUCGUACGUGAGGCAGCAGUGGGGAAUAUUCCACAAUGGGCGCAAGCCUGAUGCAGCCAUGCCGCGUGUAUGAAGAAGGCCUUCGGGUUGUAAAGUACUUUCAGCGGGGAGGCGUUACCCACAGAAGAAGCACCGGCUAACUCCGUGCCAGCAGCCGCGGUAAUUC